UUUACAGGCUGUUAUCUCACAUGCCUUAGUGAAUAAAGGGGAGCAGGAUCUCGGGUCACAGUCCUCUCACACUGGGUAAGCUGGGCAGAGAGUAAAUAAGCAGGUCUGUUAGGGUUUUUCUGCCCUGAGAGCCUUGAUUUUUCAGGUUGUGUGGUGUUCUCCAGGAGAGUUUUUCAAGUAUGGUCAUUUAUUCCCAGAACAUUGUGUAAUUUCAGUGUACUAACAACUCUUGAGGUAAGUAUUAAUGCCAUACUUCUGAACCCUUGUUUUAUUUUAGAAUUACCUUGGAGCUUUAAGAACUGUGUAUGGGCUUCCUCUCAAAGACUGUGAUUAUAUUUAUCUCAGAGGUCCAGUGAUCUUUAUUUUUAACAGUGUCAUAUAGAAUUGCUACUCAUUGUGAAGCCCAUGGACUGAGGAGGGGCAUUACCUGGGUGCUGAUUAGAAUGCAGAAGCAAGCCUACUGUAUCGAAAUCAGUGUUUUACAAGCACUCCUAGGAGAUUUUUCAGGGAUAUUAAAUUUAAGAAGCGUUGCCCUAGAUCCUUAAGUGCAGUUCUGGCUGAAAACUACUGACUUAACUGGUGAAGAAGGUGAGAGGCUCAUGGCACCUUCAGUGACAACAUCCCCAAGUCCUGGUUUGGGAUCGCUAGUCACACUCUUAAUACAGAUGUGAUCCCUAGUCACACAAAUGGGGUCCAGCUCUUUUGCCAGGGAAACAAAACUCUGAGAAUCCAGGUGUCUCUUCCCAGUGUUUUGCCUCUAUGUAAUAUCCAGGUGAAAACCUGCUGACGUAGCUGGAUCAGCCAGCAUCAAGGGGUGAAAUCCCAGCUGUUGGAUUCAGUUAUGUCUUUAAUGAAAGAGCUUCCCACAAGUAAUGAUGCUCCUCCUCUGCUUUUUUGUCCACUUUGAGGUGCAC
rnacentral:lncRNA from 1 species